CUUUCCCAAGUCUUCGUCAUCUUCUUCUCCAUCAGGGCUCAGAGGAGGCUCCUUCACCGGCACCCGGACCUACAGACCCCAGAUAACUUCUUCCUAGGUUUGAAACAACUCAACACAGUGAGAAUAACAUCUUCAGAAAAUCUUGACUUCUAAUUCCAGCUCUACUAUUUAUUAUUUGUCACUCUGGGAGAAAAAACCUCUGUGAAUCUCAGUUUCCCUCUCUGGAUAAUAAAGAUAAUGUAAUACUUGUCCCGCCUACCUUUACAGGAUCAAGGAAAAGGCACCUGACAAUAUUUAAGAGUUGUAAAUAGAAGAAGGUGAUAUUCUCUAAGAAGUUCCUGGAGGAGGACUACAACUUGGCAAAAGAGCUGCAGAGUCCCAAAGAAAAGGCAGCUCAGCUCUCAGCCAAUUGGGGGGUCUUAGACAAGUUCCACUCUCCUCUUCGUUUCUGUUUCAUUAUCUGAAAAGUGAAAAGGAGUUAGACUAAUUGAUCCUAGACAUUCCCUGUAGUUCUAAAUACUGUAUUUCUCUGAAAACAAUUGCUCUUAGUGGGGGGAACAUUCAACCACAGUUAAUUCUCAAAGUUGGAAAAUACCUCAGAAGCCAUCCAACCUAACCUGAAUAAAAAUCUGUACCCACAUCCCCAACAAAUUAUUAUUCAGUUGUCACUGGAAGAUUUCUGGUGAGGAAAAACUCUCCACUUCCCAAGGCAAGCUCAUUCUCUUCCCAAUUGUUUUGUCCAGAAACGGGGUAGGUAUACUGUGAGGAAAAACUCAGUACCAAUUCUGACUGGCAACUUUUCCUCAAAUUUUAGUCUUAGAGAAUUAUCUGGGUGCACUAAAUGACUAACCUCAAACUCAGAUCUUGAUUCUGAAGACCCUUCUCUACUCACUAUAGCAAGGUGCCUCUCAUUCCACUUCAAGAAAGCUAUAAUUGUUAGGAAAUUUUUAUUUAUAUCAAGCCUUUAUAUAACAGCUUUUUACCAAGUUUCCUUUGGUCCUCUGAAACCAAGCAGAAAGAUCUCCCUGCCCUCCCAAGUAUAAUCUUUUCCACAUAAGUUUCUUGAAUAUUUGAAGACAUCAUCAUGCCCCCACUAUUGUCUUCUCUUUUCCAGGUUAAACAUACCAGAUUUCUUCCACUGCUUCUGAUGGGCAGGACAUGCUCAUCUCAGUUGCCUUCCUCUGGACAUAUUACUAAUAUAUCCCCAUUAAAAUGUUAAGCAACACAA